rnacentral:rRNA from 1 species
UACGUAGGGGGCGAGCGUUGUCCGGAGUUACUGGGCGUAAAGGGCGCGCAGGCGGUCUGGUAAGUUUGGAGUGACAGUGCUCGGCUUAACUGAGCAAGGCCUUCGAAAACUGCUAGACUUGAGCACUCAAGAGGGACAUAGAAUUCCGGGUGGAGUGGUGAAAUGCGUAGAGAUCGGCAGGAACACCCAGGGGGAAACCAGUCGACUGGGCAUCUACUGACGCUGAGGUGCGAGAGCGUGGGGAGCGAACCGG